GGUUCGUUCUGGCUCAGAUUGAACGCUGGCCCGGGAUGCUUUACACAUACAGGUCUGGACAGCAGCACCGGAAGCUCGAUCCUGCUGGUUUAUGAAAAGCGAAGAGUUGGCGAACCGGGUGGAAAAUGUCUAUUCGGAACAUUGCCUAAUGGCGGGGGAUUAACUGCAGCGUAGCUAAUACCACGCCAUGUCAGGGAAAGCGGGGACCUUCGGGCCUCGCAUAAUGGAGCGGCCGAUAUCGGAUUAGCUGAUUGGUGGGGUAACGGCUCACCAAAGGGCGACGAUCCGUAGCUGGUUUUGAGAGGACGACCAGCCACACUGGACUGAACCUGGCCAGACUCCUGGGAGGCAACGGUGGGGAAUUUUGGACAAUGGAAACCCUGAUCCAGCCAUCCCGCGUGUGGUAAGUGCUUUACCGGGUUUGUCAUGCACAGCGGGAAAGAAACGGCACGGGGAUAAUACCCCGAUGCAACUGACGGUACCUGCAGAAUAACACCGGCUAACUACGUACCAGCAGCCGCCUUGAUAAUAACGUGGGAACCUGGCGUUGUCGAAUUGCCCGGGCGUAAAGCGUGCGCAGGCGGUUCAGGAAGAAGAUGUGAAAUCCAGAGCUUAACUUUGGAACUGCGUUUUUAACUACCGAGCUAGAGUGUGUCAGAGGGAGGUGGAAUUUCCGCGUGUAGCAGUGAAAUGCGUAGAUGUGCCGGGCUUACCGAUGGCGAAGGCAGCCUCUGGGAUAACGCGGCGCUCAUGCACGAAAGCGUAAGGGAGCAAACAGGAUUAGAUACCCUGGUAAGUCCCGCCUUUCCGGCGAUGUCAACUGGCUUAUUGGGGACGCUGGGCCUUGGUGACGCAAGCUAACAGCGUGAAGUUGACCGCCUGAAGAUGCAGUCGCAAGAUUAAAACUCAAGGAAUUGACGGGGACCCGCACAAGCGGUGGAUGAUGUGGAUUAAUUCGAUGCAGCACGCGAAAGAAGCCUUCUCUCUGUAAACAUGAAUCGAAGAUUUGGAGUGCUCGCAAAGAGAACCGGAACACAGGUGCUGCAUGGCUGUCGUCCAGCUCGUGUCGUGAGAUGUUGGGUUAGUCCCGCAACGAGCGCAACCCCUUGUCAUUAGUUGCUGCGAAGGGCGCUCUAAUGAGACUGCCGGUGACAAACCGGAGGAAGGUGGGGAUGACGUCGUUCUUCACUUUGGCCCGCCACGCUGGGUGAGGCUGCGUUAGCCACUGGCCGGACAGGGUUGAGGUCGCCAACCUGCUGAAGGCCAAUCCCAGAAGCCGAUCGUGGUCCGGAUCUGAUCUGCAACUCGACUGCGUGAAGUCAGGAAUCGCUAGUAAUCGCGGAUCAGCAUGUCGCCCAGUGAAUACGUUCCCGGGUCUUGUACACACCGCCCGUCACACCAUGGGAGUGGGUUUUACCAAGUAGUUAGCCUAACCGUAAGAGGAGGGCGAUUACCGCGGUAGGAUUCAUGACUGGGGUGCCGAAGUCGUAACAAGGUAA
rnacentral:rRNA from 1 species